GGUGCUCAGGAGCCGGGGGCGGGAACAGGCCUAGAAGGGCCGGUCUGAGCAGCAGGGGGGACGGACACCGGGUCAGCACCAACCUUCGCGAUGCUGGCAACAGGCGGAAACAAAAGCAAACCCAGGGGAUAAACCCGUGGCUUCUUUUUCUUUCUUUCUUUUUUUUAAAUGAUUUUAUUUAUUUGAGAGAGAGAGAGAGAGAGAGCAAGGGGAGGGACGGGGUAGGUGAGAGGCAGACGCCCUGCGGAGAGGGAGCCUGAUGCAGGACUCGAUCCCAGGACCCCCGAGAUCACGACCUGAGCAGAAGGCAGGCGCUUUGCCGACAGAGCCCCCCAGGCCCCCACACCAUGUUUUUCUUUUUUUAAUGUUUCUCAGUGGGUUGAGCAUGUGACUUGAUUUCGGCUCCGGUCAUGAUCUCAGGGUCGUGAGGUCGAGUCCCCACGUUGGGUUCCAUGUGGGCUCCACACCGAGCAUGGAGCUUGCUGGAGACUCUCCCCUUACUGCUCCCCACCCCCCUGCAUCUAGCUCUCUUAAAUAAAUAAAUAAAUAAAUAAAUAAAUAAAUAAAUAAUAAAGAUAAUAAAUGUUUCCUUUUUUUUAGGCAAGAAUGAGGCAUUUCUGCUCCUUUCUGGUGUGGACUGUGGGGUGUCCUGCAUGGCUAGUCCUGUGGGUUGGGCAGCGCGGUGGGGAAGGGCUGUGAGCGACCAGGACCUCGCGGCCCCGUGGCCUGUUCACGCAGAGCCUGGACCAAGCCCGGGACAGCGGGCCCUGUGCCUCAGUUGCCCCAUCCACCCGGAGCUACCUGGCCACAGGUGAACGGGGGCGGGGCCAGAGGUCGGGCUGCACUGCCGCCCCACAAAGACCCCGGAGUUUCCCAGGAAGGGUUUAGGCUUGUUCAAGUUUUCCGCCCCAGCUCUGGGUGACACUCCCGGUGAAACCACGGUGAUCCCCGAUGACCUACUGUUUCCUGAGCACGCAAGCAAGUGGACUCUGAGUCAUGCCGGGGUCACCAUGCCCUCGGUUUCGUGAAAGGCCUGCAGCCAUCGUGCGGGGACCGUGCGGGGACCGUGGCCAGCCCCACCCUCUCCUCCGCAGGGCAGGUGCCGGCCACGCUCCCACCCUCCGCGGACAAGCCCACGGCCAGGCCUCGUCGUGGUGCGGGAAAGCUCUGGGGUUGGUCUGCGACUCGGCCUCUGCGCCUGGAGGAGCCCAGGCCCCUGAGGUACGACGGAGCCCGUGUGUAACGUUACGUGAAGUACGAAAUAUUAAUCUCCACAAGAUGUUCUAUUUAAUCCAAAGAGCCGCAAGGUCUCACGCCCACGCGGCAUCUGACGAGACCCUCUCCUCUUCUGCGUCUUCAGACUCCCGCGUGUGGCACCGCGCAGCACGCCGCGCCUCACCCACUAAGGUGUUACCAGGAAUCGUUGACUGGACUUAAACCCCAUAAAGUUCACAGUCCAAAGAGGACGUUCACGCACCUAACUUAGUCCAAACAUCCUUAAAAGUCUUCAGUAACCGAACAAAGUGUC
rnacentral:lncRNA from 1 species